rnacentral:rRNA from 1 species
AUUGAACGCUGGCGGCAUGCUUUACACAUGCAAGUCGAACGGCAGCGCGGGCUUCGGCCUGGCGGCGAGUGGCGAACGGGUGAGUAAUACAUCGGAACGUGCCCAGUAGUGGGGGAUAGCUCGGCGAAAGCCGGAUUAAUACCGCAUACGACCUGAGGGUGAAAGCGGGGGAUCUUCGGACCUCGCGCUAUUGGAGCGGCCGAUGGCAGAUUAGCUAGUUGGUGGGGUAAAGGCCUACCAAGGCGACGAUCUGUAGCUGGUCUGAGAGGACGACCAGCCACACUGGGACUGAGACACGGCCCAGACUCCUACGGGAGGCAGCAGUGGGGUAUUUUGGACAAUGGGCGAAAGCCUGAUCCAGCAAUGCCGCGUGUGUGAUGAAGGCCUUCGGGUUGUAAAGCACUUUUGGCGGGAACGAAAAGGACUGUGCCUAUACCACGGUUCGAUGACGGUACCCGCAGAAUAAGCACCGGCUAACUACGUG